rnacentral:rRNA from 1 species
UUGUGAUCGUCUCUCGCAUAUCAAUAAGCGGAGGAAAAGAAACUAACAAGGAUUCCCUUAGUAACGGCGAAUGAAGCGGGAAGAGCUCAAAUUUGAAAUCUUCAAGGUUUUACCUUGACGAAUUGUAGUUUAAAGAAGUGUUUUCUGUUGAAGUUUUGGUAAAAGUUCUUUGGAAUAGGACAUCAUAGAGGGUGAGAAUCCCGUAUUUGACCAUUAUUUUCAGCUGUGUGAUACACUUUCAAAGAGUCGGAUUGUUUGGGAAUGCAGUCCAAAAUGGGUGGUAAAUUUCAUCUAAAGCUAAAUAUUGGCGAGAGACCGAUAGCGAACAAGUACCGUGAGGGAAAGAUGAAAAGAACUUUGAAAAGAGAGUUAAACAGUACGCUGAAAUUGUCAAAAGGGAAGCGUUUGACACCAGUGUUGUUUUCUCGAAAAUCAAUUAAAAAGAGUUAGAUUUUGUUGUGUAUUGACCUUAACAGCUUGCAUUUCAAUUUUCUUGCUUUUUUUAAUGCACUUUUCGUUUAACAAGUCAACAUCAGUUUCUUUUGUUGUAAAAAGGUCAUUGGAAGGUGGCUUUCUUUUCGGAGAAAGUGUUUAUAGCCUUUGACUCCUGCAAUCGGAGAGACUGAGGUCUGCAGCGUAGAUCCUUCGGGGUUAGAUACAUUUGUGCUAAGUUAUAGCUUUUUAUAGACAACUUGUUGACUAUGAUUAGUCUUGUAGCUUACUCGCUUAUGCUAUUUUACCUACGCUUAGGAUGUUGAAGAUGUAGCACAUCAU